AUCAGGAUGGCCGAGCGGUCCAAGGCGCUGCGUUCAGGUCGCAGUCCGGUCUUCCGGGCGUGGGUUCGAAUCCCACUCCUGACA
rnacentral:tRNA from 1 species